rnacentral:lncRNA from 1 species
UUCUUCAAUAGGCUUGGUGUACCAUCAGCCGAGUGAAUGUAUGUAUGUAUGAAUGAACUGAGCAUGUGGUGGACAAUCACGAUUAGGUAUCAAAGACACCGUUGACAGGGCAAAUCCAAACUCUCCAGAAUCAAAGAAAGUCUUAAAGUAAAAUUCUUCGGUUGGGUCUUGAUAAGGCACAAAUAGCUCGGAAAUGUAGCUUUGUAGAGUACACGACGAAACUUGUGUUUCUCUAUAUCGUAAAUAUGUAAGUGAUAUCACUAUACUAGCUCGUACAGUAAAUCUUAUAUGAAAUUUCCAGGUGGCCCAGCUGAACAAUCACACUUUCAGAUAUUAUUUCUCAAGCAAUGAGCGAAACACACACAUAUCUCUUAUUUUUUAAAGUUAAUCCGAACGCAAAAUUUUGCCCUAGAUUUAACCUAACUUCUUUGCUUAGUUUUAUUAUUUUAACCCUAUUUAAUCAACCCUAAUUAAUUACAUCUCUUCUCUUAUUCCUUAAAGUUAACCCGAAUGCAAAAUGUUGCCCUAAAUUUAACCUAACUUUAAUGAUUAAUUAUACUGUAUUAGCCCUAUUUAAUUAACCCUAUUUAAUUUAAUCAAAAUGUUAUUUUCAAAUGCUUCUCAAAUCAAAAACAAUAGAUCACUCCUAAAUCCAAUCCAAUCCUUUUUUGCUCCUUUUUUUUUUAUUAAAAACAAAAGAAAAUCAUCCCCUAUUUUUUUAUGAAACCUAAACUAAACUAAUUACCCUAUUUUUUUAUGAAAAAUAAAAUAAACCUAUUUUUUUGAUUAAAAACAAAAGGAAGUCGUCCCCUAUCUCUUAUUUCUAAAUGUUAACCCGUGACGCAAUAUUAACCCUAGAUUUAACCUAAUUUUUUCGCGUGACUUUACUAUACGAAUCUUAGAUUUAAUUUAUGCAAAAUGUCAUCUCUUAUUUUUAAAUGUUAACUCGUGACGCAAUAUUAACCCUAGAUUUAACCUAAUUUUUUCGUGUGACUUUACUAUAUUAACCCUAGAUUUAAUUUAUGCAAAAUGUCAUCUCUUAUUUCUAAAUGUUAACCCGUGACGUAAUAUUAGCCCUAGAUUUAACAUAUUUUUUCGCGUGACUUUACUAUAUUAACCCUAGAUUUAAUUUAUGCAAAAUGUCAUCUCUAAUUUUAACCUAAUUUUUUUUGCUUGUUCAAAAAAAAAAAAAUUUAACCUAAUUUUUUCCUCCACGCUUUUGCAUUUAAUGUUUAUCUAAAGUAAAAUAAAAUUAUGUUCUCAAUUAUAUGCUGUUUUUUUGGAAAGGAAUAACCGUUAACCCAUCUCGCUAUACUUAACAUAAUCUCUUACUUAUAAAUGUUAACCCGUCUUGAUAUACUUAACCUAUUAUGUUACGUUACGCUAUCAAGGAUGAUGUCAUGGAAAAUUAUGUUAUGGUACAGUACCAACGUCUAUGCUUCUUAAUAUUAUGAAAUACUAUAUGACAAUCAUGAAAUUCAUCGUUACCUAUUACCGUCAAAUAUUACCUUCCAUAAGUCAGUUGCCACAUACGCUAAGUCGGUUGCCACAUACGCAUUGACUUAGUCAAAAUUGAGGGAUGGGACCACUUUCGCAAAAGGGCUAAACUUAAGAGUUAAAUUAUCAAUUUUUUAUAGGGGUCAAAAUCGCAAUAUUUUAAAACAUAAAAGGAGGAAAACUGCAUUUAUGCCUAAUAUAAAUUUAUUUGCAUACGUUCUAAAUAAAUCAUAUUUAGAUCGUUUGAUCAAAAUCAAUGGUCCUGAUUUCAAGUUCUUUAUUUUACUUAGAGAUAGAAAAAGUGGAUCUCGAUUAAAAGAUCGGAUGGUCCACAUAUGUCACAAAAUCCAAAUCCAGUUAAUACCCGUUAGUGUACUAUUUAGUAGAUUUACCAUAUAUAUAUAUGGUAUCAGAUUAUUUCUAACUAUCAUAUCCAGAGAUUUGCGGUAUAUCUUUGUCGUCUAACUAUAUACUCAUGGGAAAUGCUAACUUGUGCCUAAGGGCACAAGUUAAUGAGUCUAAAGUGAAAAUAUUUUGUUAUAAUAAAUGUAUUUAAAUUUAAUUUUUUCAUUUUUAAUUAAUUGAAUGCGCAAAAUUUAAGAUAAUAUUUCUACUUUAGGUUGCAAAUGCUACUUAUCUGCCGAAUAGAAACCCAACAAAUAAGCUUUCAAGGAAUCAAGCCAUAUUAUUUGGAUCAGUUAGCUACAAAUAUGUUCCAAAUCAACUUAGAAUGCAAAUUGGUGACAAAGGAGAACAAAUCAUCUUGGUUGACUCCUUAUAUGUAGACUAUUUGACCUUGUUGAUGAAAUUAAGGAGUCGGGCUAGAAGACAAAAUAUAAGAAUAGAAAUGAUCCAUAGUUAACUAUGACAAUGGUGACAACAAUGUGUCAAGAAGAUAUUAGGGAGCUAGAAACUCUCAAAGACAAAGACUUUAACCUCAAAGGCUACAAGAAUGUGAGAUGGUCUCAAAUAACUAAUGAGCCAAUAAGUUUUGAAUGUCCCAUGAAAUACUCAUGGUAGGUUUAUGCUAUGAAGGAAGAAUUUUAUUCAACUGAGAAAAGUCAAACAUGGGAGCUAGUUGGUUUACCAACCAAAAAUAAAGCAAUAAGUGUGAAGUGGGUGUAUAUAUAAAGUGAAACUAAAUUCAAGUGGAGAAGUGAUCAAUACAAGGCCAGACUUGUAGUUAAAGUAUUCCUACAAAGACCUAGAAUAGACUUUGAUGAAGUUUUUGCACCAAUUGCUAUAAAAUAAUUGAAACUAUAAGGAUGGUAGUUGCUAUUAAAGAUUUGAAACAGGGGCACAUAUACCAAUUGGAUGUGAAAUCAGCAUUCUUUGAAUGGACCUAUUGAUAAGGAGGUAUAUAUGUUUAGCAGACACCAUGAUUUGAGAUAAGAAAUCAAAGAGGGAAAGGUGUACAAUUUGAAUGAGACUCUAAAUUGGCUCAAGCAGUCCCCAAGAAUCAAGAUCAUGGUGUUUAAUUAUGUGAAGAUAAUUUUAAAAAUAGGUUUAAUCAUUUUGUGGUUAUAUGUAGAAUGAUUGUAGAUAAUCUAUUAAUAACUAGAGACGAUUAAUUCAAUUUUAAAGAAUUUAAGAGAAGCAUGAUGAGUAAAUUUCAUAUGGCUGAUUUGCGACAAUUUUCUUAUUUUAUGAGAAUCGAGUUCCAAAAGACAAACUUUGAAAUGCUAGUCCAUCAAGCCAAAUAUGCUAGAGAGAUAUUGAAGAAAUUUGAGAUGGGCAAUUGUUACUCAACUGCCACUCCAGUAGAAACAGACAUACAUUUGGUGAAGGAAAGGUGGAUUCCACUCAAUUCAGAGUGGUGAUGAUAGGAUGCUUGUAGGUGAGCAAAGUUAACCAAAAACCAAUCUGAACCAAUUAACCGAAUCGAACCAUAUUAAAAUUAACCAAACCAUUGCAUUGGUUAACCGAAUUGAACUGUUAUUUGAAGAUGGUUUACUAACCGAACCGAACUUUUAUUAGAUUCAAUUAACUGGUAUUAACAAAACCAUUACAAUUUACAACUCAAUCAAUCAGUUAUCACACAAAACUUCUUUUCACACAAUGACACAAAACGUGAACUGAACCCUUUUCUAAACCCUAAUUUCAAUUUCAAUUUCAAUUUCAAAACCCUAAUUUCUCCUCUUCAGGGACCAGUGAUGUUGAUAUAGAAGCUUUCUUCACCUCACACAAUUCACUCUUCUGCGAUUAAUCCAUGAAAUAGACUAAAAAAAUGCCACGAUUAAUCCAUGAAAUGGCCGGUCUUCACCUCUUCAGAGACCAUUUUUUAGCCAAUUCAUUUUUUUCUGCGAUCUUCACCUCUUCUUCGAACUCUUAUGCGAACUAUUCACCUAAGGUACAAAUUAGUUUAUGGGUAUGAUUUGUUUUGAGUUUUGUUUUUGGUAUUAUUUUUGUUUCUAGGUAUGAUUGAUUUUGGUUUGUGGGCAUGUUUUUGUUUCUGGCAUGUUUGUGUGAUUAUAUGAUGAGUGUUAAUUUGUUAGUGAUUGUUGCAAAGUGACGUGUGAAAUAUUUGGACUCUUAGAAGCUUUUUUUUAGCUCAUUUCUAUAACUUCUAUUCAUUUGUGUUCUCUACUGUGGAGUUUUUUGGUAGGAUGGUGAAUCUUUUGUAACUUUGUUAUUACUGUUGUCCUGUGAAGUCUUGACCAAGAAGAAUGGUAACAUCUUGUGAUGUAAUUGACUGUUAGUAGAGUAACAUCUUGAUUGAAUGGUAAAGUUUGGAGGAAAUCAAAGCUAUGACAGGGUCAGAUUUAAAGCCUUUGCUAAUCAAAUUUAUUGGAACAAAAAAUGCUUGUGAUCACUAAACUAGUUUUAGAUUGAAUCAGUAUGUUUCAAUGGAUCGUGUGUAUCAUCCAUUAGCAAAAUGUUGAUAUUGUGACGUUGCUGCUGAUAAACGUUUUCUAGUUAAAGCUAGGGACAUAUGUCUUUAGAGAAUUUAACUUGAGAUCUUUGUUUUCAAAUAUGUCAUACUAAUUUUCUGCACUAGGGAUAUCACUUCAAUUCAUUGAUUUUGUUCUUCCUCAUGCAUUUAUCGUUGUUAUUAUGGACAAAACAGGGCACAAGUUUUGCAUGCACAUUGGUUGGCUCUAGAGUCUAGAUAGAAUUUAUUAGUAUAACUCGUAAGAAACAACAAGUAUGUUGCUAUAGAUCCUUGUCAGUUUAUAAUAAUAGUUUGUGAAUAUUUUGUGUGAUGGCUUGGCUUCUUAGCUUGUUUACAUUACUAAGAUAACUUAUAUGGAUUUCUUUGUCAAAUCUUGUCUUAGUAUCAUUGUGCAAAGUGAUGAGUUCUUUGUCAAUCUUGUCUUAAUAUAUAUCUUUUUUUUUUUUGUAGAGAUAACAUCUCAAGAAUCAGAUCACUUAGAUGAUAUAAAUUGAAAACCAUCCACUUAAAUCAUAAAGGUAGAUAAAUAUGUUUGGUUAAUAUAUAUCUUUGGUGCAUUAUAGUGUCCCUAGGUUGUCUUGAGCUGUUUCUAUUUUGAAGCUAGUUUGUUUAGUAUUUUGGCCUCUGUCUUUAGUGUAAGAUGUUGUCUUGGGCAUUAUAGUGUCCUUAUAGCAUACGACCAUUUGGGUUUUGUGGAAGGCGAGGAAUGAGAGAAUUAAUACUAAACAAAUGAGAGAAUUUCAGCUGUUUGGUGUAGUGGUAGUGCUGCCACUGUGUUGGGGACAGGUUUGAGUGUUGAUCUGCAACAACUUGUUUUUCAGAUGCUGUUUUGGUGUAGGCUGCUGCUGUCACGGUUCUGCAGGGGGAAUUUUUGAUUUAAUCGUACAUUUAUAUUGCUUUUGGCUCUGUCAAUUAAAUUAAUCUGUGUUAUCAUCCUUGUUGCUGGUUGAUGUUGAGGUAUUGAUGAAUGGUCUGGUCAAUAUGCUCCACAUUUGUGGUACUAAUGAUAUAAGAGUCUCUUACUACUAUGAAAAUGAAAUAUAUUUGAUGUUUAAUCCCAUAAAUUUUGUUUGAUCCCUCUACUUCUAGCUGCAGCAGUACAGUUAAUCUCAUAAUAUAUUUGAUGUGUAAAAUACUAAUUCACAUCAAUUUAUGUCUUUUUGUUUUGUAGGUCAAUACCAUAUGAAUUCAUAAAGACAAAGAUCUAUUCGGACUUCAAAGUUGAAGUUAUUAGCUACUUGUUGAGAGAAGAUGUCAGUUAUUAUAAACAUUUAGCUUUAUUUUGUUUUGCUAUUGUAAUAGUUUUAUUUGGAAGGAUGUUGACCCUAUUUACUUAUGCAAGUAUGAUGUAUUGAGAGUAAGUAAGGAAUGAUUGUGCAUCUUUAUACUUCAAACUGAAGUUGAUUUUAUUGUUACUUAAGGAUUAAGCUCUUGUGAAUUAUGUGCUCUUAUGUUGAUGUCAACUGUACAAAAGAGAUACUCUAUUGCAUUUUUUGAAAUUUAUCAAUGGAUUGCACCUAAUAAUUUAGGGGGACUAAUACCUCAAAUUCGUCCUUGAAUUUUCAAAAAUCAGCCAAAUUUAUCCCUGAAUUUUGCAAAAUAUAUAUUUAGUUCCUGAAUUUUAUAGACGUCCAUCAAAAUGGUCCCUUCGUCCAAAAGCUCUGUUGGUGGUGAUGAUGUGUCCUCUUGCAUGUUGUGUUGUCAUGUACAUGUGUUAACAAGGCAGCCACGUGUACAAGGACUAAAUUGAUGGAAAUGGUAAAAAUUGUAGUGUUAACUUUUCAGUGUCAUUUUUUUGUGUUUCCAAUUGCUUUUGUGUUUCUAACUUCUCCAAUGGCCACCAUGUUCUAACAUCUGUAAGUUGUAUUUACAAACUUUCCUAUAGUUGCUCAAUCGAUAAUCAUGACAAUAUCAUAACUUUCCACUUUAGUAGAUCAUGCUCAACCAUAAAAACAAAUAGUGCAGUUUAUCAAGGAAUAGUAGCAACACGAAGGCACGGUAGUCAGUAAAGCAAAAAUCAACUCGCAAAAUAAACCUGCCAUUCAUUCAUUCAUUCAACAUACAACAAACAAAAACAAACAAACAAACAAACAUUUAUUCAUGGUUCCACCACCAAUGCAUAUAAAUUGCACAGACUAGCUAGUUUUACUUGGAGCAACCAGGCCAUGCAACAUCUCUUGGAGAAAGUGUUUUAAGGACUGGAUUUCUCUCAAAGAAAUUCGUUGGUCUCAGCUCAAAUGAAGUGCUCAAUAGUGGCAUUAUUGGGAAAUCUUCUUGUGCUGGAACAUGAUGAAUUCCAACUACAUGCCACAUCACAAUGUCCUUGUUCACAAUGUCUCUAUUCCUGCAAAAAUUCCAAAUUAAUUAGUAUAAUAAUCAACUUACCAAGAUCAAUUAUUAGCAAAUGUACAAAUCAAAUAAAAAAAAUCAUACUUUUUGGUCCAAACAGCUAAUGUGUCUUCUCCACGGCUAUGAUCAACAUAUAGUCCACCAGCCCAUUUUUCAGUUCUAUUAUAAGGUGUGACCCAAACAUUAUAAUUAGUAAAUGCACCACGUAUUUGUGGAUAAUCAUCUUCGGUUAGAAGUGGAUGAGCUGGAAUUGCUGGGAUCAAACGGUAUCCGACGUCGUUUCCAACGAUAGUUUUUUUGUUUGGAUUGACAAUUGCAAGUUCACCUGGGGCAAGCCCUAGAGUAAUUUUUGCAUCUGAUUCAGUCUUAGCAAUUUGAGUCUCAGUGGUCCAAUAACUCUUUCUCUUUGAACUUCCAUCGGUGAUUUUUACGGUUUUUAAACUUGUUUUCUCAAAUGAAUUUUGAACACCGUCGAUAUCAAAAUCAAGAUAGUACAUGUAGAAAUGGUCAUGGUAAAUACCAAUGCUGUUUGCUGAUACCAAUUUGCCAUGUAAAUCUUCUUUAAUCUCAUCCUUGUGCUUGAUAUUUGUUCCCUUGAUUUCCAAUAUACCCGACAGUGCUAUCUGUGUACAUACAUACAUACAUACAUAAAUUUUGAAAAAUCAAUUAGAGUUAUUUCAGGCCAAGGACAUGACAAUUGACAAGUGAAGUGGGACAGUUGUUGUCUUGGCGGUAUAUGCUAAAUAUAGUAAUACACAUGUUUUCUUUUUUCUUUCAGUUUAAAUAAAAAUAGUAAGUAACCUGUAACCCAAAGUGAAGUGGGACUUUUUUUUUACAAUAAACCAAAAGAGACUUUCAAAUCGUUUAAAUAAAUUUGUCAGCUAUCCAGCAAGGAAGUUACACACCUAGGACAAAUUUUAAAUUCAGACUUAACAUUUAAUUUGUCCAAUGCUUAAUUUGUUAAAGUAAGUUUUGACUUUUCAAAGGUUUGUUAUGACUUGUUAGUUGAUUUAAAAACUCAUUUAAUAUUAUUGUGUCUAAGCAAAUAGUAUAUGUUUAAAUCGACUAACAAACAAAUAGACCAAUAAAACAAAUUGGAUUCUCUUUUGUUAUUUAACAAGACAUUUUAGAAAAUUUGAAUAUGUGAUAUCAUAUUUUAAUUUAAAUUUAAAUUUAUGCAAGUCGAAUUAAAUAUCUAGAUCCUUGCCUUAAGAAAAUCCAAAAAUACCAAGAGACAAGAUAUAUAAUUGCACAGUGUUUUAGUGACCCGCUUGGUAAAUUCCCUCGAAGAUUGGAAAUGAAAUGAACGUGUUUAUGAAGAACCAUAUCUUAUCUCUUUUCAAAAAAAGAAAAUCUUAUCUUCCAGUAACACUCUACGAAUUUUUUUAUAUGUAUUAUUUUAUUACAAAAUCUGUUUUGUAAUUAUUAAUAUAGUAAAUACUCCAUAUUACUUACAUUUAAUUGUGAGAUCACUUACACUUACGUAUAAUUAUCUAUAUAAAACAUUUAGUAAACAUGGAGUAACAAAUAAACAAAACUAAAUACUUACAGCAGGCUUGAUAGAACCACUUGCUUUGAACUCCCAAUCUAAAACAUUGUCGUAGUUUCCCACGGUGACUACUGUUCUUACAAUCAAAUUCACUUCGGUUCUAGAUUCUUCGACCUGUCAGUAGAUGUACAAACAAAAAAUCAAUAAAUAAAUAAAAAUAGAAUAAUUAGUUAAAUUAGUUGGUUGCAGGAAAAACUCUUACGAAUUCAUUAGGAAUGCCAGUUUCAGUGUGACGCCACAUGAUAUUACCAUAUUGUUCAAACACACAAAUUGCAUUCUUCAAUAGGCUUGGUGUACCAUCAGCCGAGUGAAUGUAUGUAUCAAUGAACUGAGCAUGUGGUGGACAAUCACGAUUAGGUAUCAAAGACACCGUUGACAGACCAAAUCCAAACUCUCCAGAAUCAAAGAAAGUCUUAAAGUAAAACUCUUCGGUUGGGUCUUGAUAAGGCACAAAUAGCUCGGAAAUGUAGCCUUUGUAGAGUACACGGCGAGACUUAUGUUUCUCUAGAUCGUAAAUAGAUGCAAGUGAUAUCACUAUACCAGCUCGUACAUCAAAUCCUAUAUGAAACUUCCAGUUGGCCCAGCU